GAUGAACGCUGGCGGCGUGCCUAACACAUGCAAGUCGAGCGAUUCUCUUCGGAGAAGAGCGGCGGACGGGUGAGUAACGCGUGGGUAACCUGCCCUGUACACACGGAUAACAUACCGAAAGGUAUGCUAAUACGAAAUAAUAUGCUUUUGUCGCAUGGUAGAAGUAUCAAAGCUCCGGCGGUACAGGAUGGACCCGCGUCUGAUUAGCUAGUUGGUAAGGUAACGGCUUACCAAGGCAACGAUCAGUAGCCGACCUGAGAGGGUGAUCGGCCACAUUGGAACUGAGACACGGUCCAAACUCCUACGGGAGGCAGCAGUGGGGAAUAUUGCACAAUGGGCGAAAGCCUGAUGCAGCAACGCCGCGUGAGCGAUGAAGGCCUUCGGUUCGUAAAGCUCUGUCCUCAAGGAAGAUAAUGACGGUACUUGAGGAGGAAGCCCCGGCUAACUACGUGCCAGCCGCCGCAGUAA
rnacentral:rRNA from 1 species